rnacentral:rRNA from 1 species
UACGAAGGGUGCAAGCGUUACUCGGAAUUACUGGGCGUAAAGGGUGCGCAGGCGGCGUCGCAAGUCAGGCGUGAAAUCCCCGGGCUUAACCUGGGAACUGCACUUGAAACUACGAUGCUGGAGUAUGGCAGAGGGAGGUGGAAUUCCACGUGUAGCGGUGAAAUGCGUAGAGAUGUGGAGGAACACCGGUGGCGAAGGCGGCAUCCUGGACCGGUAUUGACACUGAGGCGCGAAAGCCAGGGGAGCAAACGGG